rnacentral:rRNA from 1 species
AUGAUGAAUCAGCCUUGCCAAAAGCAUGGUACGCGGGACAGGCCAUCCACGCACCUUUGGAAGGACCGCCACAUUAUGAAGGCAUUCAAAAAUUCCGACUUGCUCCAAAACAAUCAUGGGCCAAGCGGCGGCUCGGGUUCCAGCUCUUACGAUCUGGGUCACGAGGGCGGCGGUCCUAAUUCUGGCUUCCAAGGCAAUCAAGGAAAUCAAGGCAACCAGGGAGGUUUUCAUCAACAGUCUGGUCAGGGGAAUCAGCAACAACAAUCUGGGUAUUGGAGUAACCUGAAACAGUUGAAUAGUGGGUUGUACCACGUCUUCACCACAAGUUUAUGCAAGCGGGAUCAGAAGCUCCAUAAAAGGUUGUGA